CGGCGAGUGAAGCGGGAAGAGCUCAAAUUUGAAAUCUGGUGGCCUCAGGUCAUCCGAGUUGUAAUCUAUAGAAGUGUUUUCCGUGCUGGCUCAUGUACAAGUCCCUUGGAACAGGGCGUCAUAGAGGGUGAGAAUCCCGUCCUUGACAUGAACUACCAGUGCUCUGUGAUACAUUUUCAACGAGUCGAGUUGUUUGGGAAUGCAGCUCAAAAUGGGUGGUAAAUUCCAUCUAAAGCUAAAUAUUGGCGAGAGACCGAUAGCGAACAAGUACCGUGAGGGAAAGAUGAAAAGCACUUUGGAAAGAGAGUUAAACAGUAUGUGAAAUUGUUGAAAGGGAAACGAUUGAAGUCAGUCGUGCUCUUUGGAUUCAGCCGGUUCUGCCGGUGUACUUCCUUUGAGUGGGGUCAACAUCAGUUUUGAUCGCUGGAUAAAGGCAGGAGGAACGUAGUACCCUCGGGUAAACUUAUAGCCUCUUGUCACAUACAGUGGUUGGGACUGAGGAACGCAGCACGCCUUUAUGGCCGGGAUUCGUCCACGUACGUGCUUAGGAUGUUGACAUAAUGGCUUUAAACGACCCGUCUU
rnacentral:rRNA from 1 species